rnacentral:rRNA from 1 species
AUGUAUAUAUACUCCACUCGUAGUCUUUUUCGACAAACCCUAAAAUAUAGGACUUGUCCCAUCGACCCGCUGCCAUCCACCUCGGGAUCCCUCCGAAUCCAUUUCCACCAACCGAAGCCGCCUCCUCCUUCCUCGUUUUCCCCAUCAAGCCAACCAGCGGCCUCCCUGCAUAGCAGCGCCUCUGGCCCCGAUCCAGCCACCCGAGGCCCGGCCUCCUCUCGCUCUCGUGCGCGAGCACGCGCUCAGGAGCUCGAGCAGGGGAGCCUCGAUCCCGCAGCUCCCUGCAACCUCCCGCUGGAGUCCCCGAUCCCCACAGCUGGACUCCGUCCCCGCCGUCUCCGUCGUCUCUCGCCAUUUCGUUGGCGGCAAGCCUCGCCGGAGAACCUCCCAGGCCUGAUCCCGCCGCCCUGCUCCUCCUUCCCUAGCCAUCUCCUUCUCCUCCUUCCUCUAACCUCUCUCUAUCUCUAG